rnacentral:rRNA from 1 species
GACGAACGCUGGCGGCGUGCUUAACACAUGCAAGUCGAGCGGUAAGGCCCUUUCGGGGGUACGACGAGCGGCGAACGGGUGAGUAACACGUGGGUGACCUGCCUCUAGCUCUGGGAUAAGCCUGGGAAGCUGGGUCUAAUACCGGAUAUGACCUCGCGGUGCAUGUUGCGGGGUGGAAAGCCUUGUGCGGCUAGGGAUGGGCCCGCGGCCUAUCAGCUUGUUGGUGGGGUGANGGCCUACCAAGGCGACGACGGGUAGCCGGCCUGAGAGGGCGACCGGCCACACUGGGACUGAGACACGGCCCAGACUCCUACGGGAGGCAGCAGUGGGGAAGUCUUGCGCAAUGGGCGAAAGCCUGACGCAGCGACGCCGCGUGAGGGAUGACGGCCU